rnacentral:rRNA from 1 species
UGCCUUGUUGUUGUUGUUG